rnacentral:lncRNA from 1 species
AUACGUUACGAAAGUCCCCGGACAACAGACCCAACUCCCAUCAAUAUUUUAUGUAUGUUUUAUUUGCCUAUUUAUUCUGCAGUUCAAUAAAAAUUACAUGUUGCUAUGGAAACAUGAAAAAUCACAGAUACCUGCUCUACUCAGAGGUGUUUACUGGGAUGACAUAUUAUGCCAGAGGUGCUUUUGGCAGCCUCUCGUCCGCAGGGCAACCAUUGUUCUGGCAGCAGGAAGUCAGUGAGCAGUGCAAGGUCAUCCAGCCCCACGGUCCUCCGCCCCCUUCUCUUGUAUGGGGCAUGAGCUCCAAGGUACCCUUCACUUGCUUGACACAUGAGGUCAUGGAAGACAGUCGCCAGCUCAGGUAGAUACGAGGUAAGCAAUAGCACUGCCAAGAUAGUUGGCAGUACCCAUCAGUGGGUGGGAAACCUACCAGAGCAAUUCUGAGUGAGCCUUCAAUUCUCGCUAUCAUUAGAUUUUUUUUUUCUUCCUCACAUGGGAGGGACACCUAUUAAAAGUGUAUUUUUCUCUACUGCAAUGGUUUGUCAAGGCAUCUGCUAAAC